rnacentral:rRNA from 1 species
UGGGGAAUUUUGCACAAUGGGCGCAAGCCUGAUGCAGCAACGCCGCGUGAACGAUGAAGGUCUUCGGAUCGUAAAGUUCUGUUGCAGGGGAAGAUAAUGACGGUACCCUGUGAGGAAGCCCCGGCUAACUACGUGCCAGCAGCCGCGGUAAUACGUAGGGGGCUAGCGUUAUCCGGAUUUACUGGGCGUAAAGGGUGCGUAGGUGGUCUUUCAAGUCGGUGGUUAAAGGCUACGGCUCAACCGUAGUUAGCCUCCGAAACUGGAAGACUUGAGUGCAGGAGAGGAAAGUGGAAUUCCCAGUGUAGCGGUGAAAUGCGUAGAUAUUGGGAGGAACACCAGUAGCGAAGGCGGCUUUCUGGACUGCAACUGACACUGAGGCACGAAAGCGUGGGUAGCAAACAGG